rnacentral:rRNA from 1 species
AGCGAACGCUGGCGGCAGGCCUAACACAUGCAAGUCGAACGAACUCUUCGGAGUUAGUGGCGGACGGGUGAGUAACACGUGGGAACGUGCCUUUAGGUUCGGAAUAACUCAGGGAAACUUGUGCUAAUACCGAAUGUGCCCUUCGGGGGAAAGAUUUAUCGCCUUUAGAGCGGCCCGCGUCUGAUUAGCUAGUUGGUGAGGUAAAGGCUCACCAAGGCGACGAUCAGUAGCUGGUCUGAGAGGAUGAUCAGCCACAUUGGGACUGAGACACGGCCCAAACUCCUACGGGAGGCAGCAGUGGGGAAUCUUGCGCAAUGGGCGAAAGCCUGACGCAGCCAUGCCGCGUGAAUGAUGAAGGUCUUAGGAUUGUAAAAUUCUUUCGCCGGGGACGAUAAUGACGGUACCCGGAGAAGAAGCCCCGGCUAACUUCGUG